UACGGGGGGGGCAAGCGUUGUUCGGAAUUACUGGGCGUAAAGGGCUCGUAGGCGGCCAACUAAGUCAGACGUGAAAUCCCCUCGGCUUAACCGGGGGAACUGCGUCUGAUACUGGAUGGCUUGAGGUUGGGAGAGGGAUGCGGAAUUCCAGGUGUAGCGGUGAAAUGCGUAGAUAUCUGGAGGAACACCGGUGGCGAAGGCGGCAUCCUGGACCAAUUCUGACGCUGAGGAGCGAAAGCCAGGGGGAGCAAACGGG
rnacentral:rRNA from 1 species